rnacentral:rRNA from 1 species
AUUGAACGCUGGCGGAAUGCUUUACACAUGCAAGUCGAACGGCAGCACGGACUUCGGUCUGGUGGCGAGUGGCGAACGGGUGAGUAAUGUAUCGGAACGUGCCCAGUCGUGGGGGAUAACGUAGUGAAAAUUACGCUAAUACCGCAUACGAUCUAUGGAUGAAAGCGGGGGAUCGCAAGACCUCGCGCGAUUGGAGCGGCCGAUAUCAGAUUAGGUAGUUGGUGGGGUAAAGGCCCACCAAGCCAACGAUCUGUAGUUGGUCGGAGAGGACGACCAGCAAAACUGGAACUGAGACACGGUCCAGACUCCUACGGGAGGCAGCAGUGGGGAAUUUUGGACAAUGGGCGAAAGCCUGAUCCAGCCAUUCCGCGUGCAGGAUGAAGGCCCUCGGGUUGUAAACUGCUUUUGUACAGAACGAAAAGGUUUCUACUAAUACUAGGAGCUCAUGACGGUACUGUAAGAAUAAGCACCGGCUAACUACGUGCCAGCCGCCGCCGUAA